AUCAAUCGCGUUCUCUUUCUCCCUCACGCCGACGAGUCCUUACCCCUCAACUCUCACCUCGUUGAUUCGUUCCAUUCUCUCAGAUUAGCCUCGCAGUUUCAUAGCGUCGCCACUCGUAAGUUGUAAUUCGCACCAGUGGUGGCCGGUGGAGUUUUCAGAUAACAAAAUCGACACCUAAAUUAAAAAAAUCGACAGCUAGCAUAGACAAGUAAUUGAAGACCGUAUAAUUUGUUUAAGACUCUCAUUUGUCACUGUGAGGUUGUCAGACAGCAAAAUCAAGAGGCAAGCACUUAGUCUCAUUUAGUGAUUAGGCUGAUGAGUAUUUUCGGUUUCAACGUGUUGAGUUUUUUUACACAUCUGUAUGAGUUUGACUUUUUUCAAUUCUACUGCUGACCUACUACUACUAUAUACCUGAUUAAUUGAUUAUUAUUCACUAAUUGCCAUAUUAGUUCAUAUUAUGUUACAUGUUCACCGAAUUGGUAACUGUUAUAAUUAUUUAAUGUUCACUGUUACACAUAUGUAAUUUACUAAGAUGCUGUUUGUUUUUCUAUAAAAACCUCUUCAAACCACUUAUUGCUGCCCGGCGCAGCACACGCGCAACACUUUCCUUCUUGCAACAGUUUGUUUUUUGGAAGACUUCAAACUACAAAACCUCUGCGCGUGUGCUGCGUGGCGCAACACUUGACUUGCCUCUUCUAACCUCUUCACCUUUCAUUUUUUCUAAGUGUUUUUUUAAGAAUUUUUGUAUAACUUUUUAAAUUUUUUUUUUUAACUUUGAUUUUCAUAAAUUUUUAUUUACGGAUGUGACACAAUUUAUUUUUAUAAUUUCCACGAUUUUUUUUAACUUGAUUUUUUUAAUUUUUUUUACCGUUUUAUUAAUAAUAUUUUCAAUUUCAGUUGCAUCUUUUUUAACGUGUGUAAUUUUUUACGAACUUUGUAGACAACGUUUGCAAUACUUUCUUAAUUUUUUUAUUAUUUUCUUUUUUAAUGUUUUUUAAAAUUAGUUUUUUUCUAGAAUAAAACUAUUAGCUUCUUUUACAUUUUUUUAAGUUUUAUUUUUAAAAAAAGUUUUAUAUUUUUGUUUUUUUACAUGUUCUUUUUAUUAUUAUUUCAAUGUUUUAAAACUAGAAUUAUUAAAUUUCGGUGUUGAAAACUAUUUUCAGUUUAUAAAAUUAGUUUAUUUAAAUUUCAGUUUACUGCAGAUGUUAAAAAACAAACAUGCUUCUUAUUAUAGGCUGCAGCCGUUUGUUCCACCUCUUCUGCUACAGAGGAUUGCAGAGGUGGUCCGCAGACUUCAUGAAUUUUUGCUUCGAAAAAACAAACACCACCUAAUUCUGUAUGAGUUUUUAUUUAUGUUAGUUGAUAAUUUGUUUUCAGAAUCUGUUAAUUGGUUAUUGUUUACUGAUUGAAUAUGAUUUUUUUUUUAAUUUUAAUUUUCAUAAUCUGAUAUUGUGUUUAUUUUCAUAAUCUGUUGAUUGAUUAUUGUUCACUAAUUUAUAACCAUGACUUCUGAGUAUGUGGAAGAAUUGGAAGAGAAGUUGCCGAAAAUAGAACUUGUCAAGUAUUUUUGCAUAAUUAUAAGUUUAUAAUUCCAUUACAUUUUCUUUUAUUUGUAGAUGAAUUGGGACAUGGUGAAGUGAUUCAUAUGGAUAAAGAUUGAAGAUUGAACUUGGUUGUAAUAACAACUUGGUUGUUUUCUACUUGGUAAUUGUUUCUAAAAACUUGUUAAAUUUGGUUGUUGUAAACUUGUAGCAACAAACUUUUGAUGUUACGUUGGUAUUGAAAUUGGUUUUUUUUUUUUAGUUUUUUUAAUCUACUUUGUUAAAUUAGUAAAUUUGUUUCAACUUUGAAGUUUUAAAGAUUUGAUGAAAAAUGGGUUACAACCCAAAACCCAUCAACCCAUGGGUGAACCCAAAACCAAACCCAACGGGUCUAAAAUCCAGAAACCGAAAUUCAUGGGCUGGGUUCGGUUUUACCCCAAAACUGAGAAACCGAAGUUCAUGGGUUGGGUUCGGUUUUACCCCAAAACUGACCCAACCUAGCCCAUGUUCAACCCUAAUUUAAUAUCAUUUCAAGGGUGAAUGUUUUUGUAUCAUUUUAAGAAACCUAAAACUGGAUUAGUCAAAAAUAACAAACUUUCUGAAGGUUGAACCACCUUUUAUAUUAACAUAUAUAAAUUUCAUACGUUUUUUCUUAUCUUUUUAACAUAUAUUGUUUUUUGUCUUUUUCUAUGUCAUAGGUUUGGCUCAUGGGUAGAUUUUACCAUAUAU
rnacentral:lncRNA from 1 species